GAAUUUUUUUGGGAUCUCUUUAUAAAGCGUUUAUUAUUUAUUUAUUAUGUUUUGUCGAGAGCUUUCAAAAAAUUCA
ensembl:ncRNA mir-2492 mir-2492 stem loop